rnacentral:rRNA from 1 species
CAAGGAAUUUUCCGCAAUGGGCGCAAGCCUGACGGAGCAACGCCGCGUGGAGGAUGACGGCUCUCGGGUUGUAAACUCCUUUUGUGGGGGACGAUGAUGACGGUACCCCACCAACAAGCCCCGGCUAACUACGUGCCAGCAGCCGCGGUAAUACGUAGGGGGCCAGCGUUGUCCGGACUUACUGGGCGUAAAGCGCGCGCAGGUGGUGGCGGAUGUGCCGUGUGAAAGCUCCGUCAGAUGCGGAGAGGCCACGGUAGACACUGUCACUCGAGGCUCGGAGAGGUCGAUGGAAUUCCGGGUGGAGCGGUGAAAUGCGUAGAGAUCCGGAGGAACACCAGAGGCGAAGGCGGUCGACUGGCCGAGACCUGACACUGAGGCGCGACGGCGUGGGGAGCAAACCGG